GCGGCUAUAGUUUAGUGGUAAAACUCCGGGUUGUGGUCCCGGCAUCGAGAGUUCAAUUCUCUCUAGCCGCCCCA
rnacentral:tRNA from 2 species